AGUGAACGCUGGCGGUAGGCCUAACACAUGCAAGUCGAACGGCAGCACAGGAGAGCUUGCUCUCUGGGUGGCGAGUGGCGGACGGGUGAGGAAUACAUCGGAAUCUACUUUUUCGUGGGGGAUAACGUAGGGAAACUUACGCUAAUACCUCAUACGACCUACGGGUGAAAGCAGGGGAUCUCCGGACCUUGCUCGAUUGAAUGAGCCGAUGUCGGAUUAGCUAGUUGGCGGGGUAAAGGCCCACCAAGGCGACGAUCCGUAGCUGGUCUGAGAGGAUGAUCAGCCACACUGGAACUGAGACACGGUCCAGACUCCUACGGGAGGCAGCAGUGGGGAAUAUUGGACAAUGGGCGCAAGCCUGAUCCAGCCAUACCGCGUGGGUGAAGAAGGCCUUCGGGUUGUAAAGCCCUUUUGUUGGGAAAGAAAUCCAGCUGGUUAAUACCCGGUUGGGAUGACGGUACCCAAAGAAUAAGCACCGGCUAACUUCGUGCCAGCCGCCGCCGUAA
rnacentral:rRNA from 1 species